rnacentral:rRNA from 1 species
CCUACGGGUGGCAGCAGUGAGGAAUAUUGGUCAAUGGACGAGAGUCUGAACCAGCCAAGUAGCGUGAAGGAUGACUGCCCUAUGGGUUGUAAACUUCUUUUAUAUGGGAAUAAAAUGUUCCACGUGUGGGAUUUUGUAUGUACCAUAUGAAUAAGGAUCGGCUAACUCCGUGCCAGCAGCCGCGGUAAUACGGAGGAUCCGAGCGUUACCCGGGUUUAUUGGGUUUAAAGGGAGCGUAGGUGGAUUGUUAAGUCAGUUGUGAAAGUUUGCGGCUCAACCGUAAAAUUGCAGUUGAAACUGGCAGUCUUGAGUACAGUAGAGGUGGGCGGAAUUCGUGGUGUAGCGGUGAAAUGCUUAGAUAUCACGAAGAACUCCGAUUGCGAAGGCAGUUCACUGGACUGCAACUGACACUGAGGCUCGAAAGUGUGGGUAUCAAACAGGAUUAGAUACCCGUGUAGUC